GGCUCUUUGCCCUGUGAUCGUGCUAGAGAUACCUAAAAAAAGAUUUGUAAGCCUCUGUUAGCCAGAACUGUUUCUGACAGAUAGAACCAGCAUUAAAAAACUUUCUGUGCGUGCCUUGUAUUUGUUCAUUUGACUAAUAUUAUAUUAUUCCCAGAUUGCAGAAGAGGAGUUUGAUAGGCUGGAAACGUACCAUCUCUCAGGCUUGCCCUCCACAACCUCCAGAUUGUCUCCAUUUUUUUUUCAUUAGUGUUUUUAAGGGAUAAUGUCAACCUAGCACAAAAAGGAGACAGGAUAUUUCCUCUCUAUAUAUACCUUAUUGGGCUGUUUAUAAGCAAGAAAGCUCAAAUAUGGGAAGCUUCACAGUAUAUGCCCUCAGUAUAUCAUCAGCCAUAAUGCACAGGAUAUGUAUGAAGAAAAAGAAUAAGAGG